rnacentral:rRNA from 1 species
CCUACGGGAGGCAGCAGUGAGGAAUAUUGGUCAAUGGACGAGAGUCUGAACCAGCCAAGUAGCGUGAAGGAUGACUGCCCUAUGGGUUGUAAACUUCUUUUAUAAAGGAAUAAAACGAGGCACGUGUGCCUUUUUGCAUGUACUUUAUGAAUAAGGAUCGGCUAACUCCGUGCCAGCAGCCGCGGUAAUACGGAGGAUCCGAGCGUUAUCCGAAUGUAUUGGGUUUAAAGGGAGCGUAGAUGGGUUGUUAAGUCAGUUGUGAAAGUUUGCGGCUCAACCGUAAAAUUGCAAUUGAUACUGGCAGUCUUGAGUACAGUUGAGGUAGGCGGAAUUCGUGGUGUAGCGGUGAAAUGCUUAGAUAUCACGAAGAACCCCGAUUGCGAAGGCAGCUUACUAAACUGUGACUGACAUUGAUGCUCGAAAGUGUAGGUAUCAAACAGGAUUAGAUACCCUUGUAGUC